AAAAUGUAAACAUUUUCCCUGGCCUUCUUUAAAUAAAAAAUCAAGCAAAAGCCCCGUUAGAUCAGCUAAUACUCAAUCUGAUGCGAUAUGCCCGCGCGUUCGCAGCGUCUUCUGUAAAUGCUGGACGGUUUUUACACAUGAAUAUUGUUUGUGUAAUGCAGUCAUAAUAUUUACGCAGGGACGCGGGAGGAGUGAGGUGGAAGCUCUGCCGAGCUGUGAGCACAGAAACUCGGACGGGGACCUGAGAUCGACUCCUGCAGGCAGUUUCCCAUCGAAUGAUCCAGGAAUUGAAGAAGAUUCAGUCCCACACAGUGAGUGGGAGCCUGCCUGGCGCCCCACCCUGCAGUCCUGCACACCUCCCAGGGCCGGUCCAUCUCGGUCUGUCCAAUGCAGGGACAGACAUCAAUAAUGAGAGCUGAAGCAGAAACCACAGGGCAGAACACAAAGGAUCGAGGGAGGGCAGACACAGGCCACAGCUGGCUCUGCUGCAGGUUGGAGUGGGCAGACGUGCGGCUUUGGCCACAGGAAGCUGUGAAUUCUUCGCAGAAUGGAAGACGUCUUAUGAGGAGACAUGCCGGGCCCCUCACCACCCCCAAAGUGACCCCUGACCCUUUCAUGUGUUUAUAUCAGACCGUGGAAGUGAGAAAUAGUGAUGAGUCACUCUGGCUGUGUGUUUACACUUCGGAGUCACGCAAGGAAGGAAAUCAGCCACGGUCUGCUAAAAGUGGCGAGGUGAGAGAGAAUAGCUGCAGUCCCCGAGAGCUGCUGUGAUUUAGCUCUCAGAGCCAGAAUUUAUUUCACGUCAUCUCUGCGGCGAAAACUUUCAACCUACAGAAAACAGCAGCAUUAGCAGCACGGUAGACCGCUGCUGAGAGAACGGCAACGUUUAGAGCCAAAACAAGCAGCCGACAGCAAGGAAAGGUGGAUGUGUUACUGCCACGCUGAUUAUUUCAGGAGAUAAGACUGUUAUAAAAAGCAGGGUAACUCAUUCAGCAGAAUGUUAUUCGAAAGCUGGAGAAUUUUUGAUGCAUUGGAGCUUCAGGAUUUUCCAUACACAGAGUUGAUCAUGUCCAGUUGCUUUCUGAUGAAGGUAGAUAACAAACACACAUCACUGGCAGUAAAUGAAAACCUGCAUCUUCACACAUUUCAUGUUUUUUUUUUUUUUUAAGUAAAAACUGUUUGCAGUUACAUCUCAGUGUGUAAUUGCACUUUAAACAUUUUCAGAGACAUUUUUCAACUACAGGCGUGAAAUGCUUAAUUGUAUUCACCCCUUAUUUUAAUUUAAAUGUACGUAUAUUUCGAAAAAACAGAUUUAGCAUCAAUAGUGUUCAGUACAUAUGCUCUAAGUUUCUUAGUUUUUCUAUUACCAUAGUAUUGAUAAAGAUAUUCAAAAGAAAAGAGUAAAAAUGCCAUCAAACAUCAAACAAAAGCCUUACUUUUAAUAACUAUUUACUUUCAAAACCCUUUAUUAAUUCAUUUCAGUUCAUUUUGCUUCAACUCAAUUUAAUUUAAUUCAAUUCAGUUCAAUUUCAUCCAGUUAAUUUUAACCCAGUUCAAAGGUGGCUGUUUUCAUAUGACAGUUUCAACAAACAAUACAGCCAAAGCAUCAACAAAUGGGAUUUGCCCAAAUAUUUGUACAGCACACAAAUACAGUAAUUCAAACUUUAAUACAACAUUAAGAUUCAUUUACAUUCAUUAUCUAAUAUUUGCAGGCUGUUCAUCGUCUCUCAGUUUGUUGAUACAUACUCCAGCAACGUAUUCCCUGCCUCCUUCACCUCCAGGAGUAUUUUUAAGUUUUAUUUUUGAUUGUUAAAUAAGUUCUUUGAAACCCGAAAUAACAGAGGUGAAUAUGUUGAAGUAAAUGUUCCUUGGUUCCAUGAAUAUUGUGCAUUUUAAUAGUAAGUGUAUCUGUUGAACAUCUUACAUUUAAAAGCCAGUCAAUGAUCAGAUCUUUUGUCUGACUUUGUGUCUGCAGGUUGCAUGAGUAGGAAACAAACAGUUUGUGUGGAAAUAUGAUUACAUAAGUAGAUUGAGUGGAUUUUAUGAAAGCAAGCUAGCAAAAGUCAGUACAUAUCUCUACAGUCAUAUAUGAAGGGAAAAACAUUUCCUAAAAAUACCAAACAGAUAAAGUUGUAGAGCUGCUAAAAUAUCUAUGCAAUAAUUUAAUGGCUUGGAUGAAUAAGGCAGAUUAGAUUCUGAACUGAUACCAACAAGGUGGAAACGGAGCCUACAUAUUAGCAUAUUCCACAAAUCAAAUCAAUUUAAAUGAACAAAAAGUAAUUUACCUUACAGGUGGUUGUAACUUUUAAGGUAUCAAUUCCAUAUUGAGAUAUUUUCUCAUUGGAUUACAAAGUAUUUUUAUGGUGUAUGACGGUGAGGGAUCGUACUGCAUCCUCACUGUCUAAACCACAUCGGACACACAUUACUUUGAGCUCCAGAUUACUUUAUGUCAAAUGCACUGUAAGAUGUGUUUACUGUGGCUUCCACCACUGUUGCAAACAUAGUGUCACUGUCGUCCUCCACACUGAGUGACUUCAGAUUUUAGCUGAUUGCACCACUGUUGUUUUCAAGACAUACCUGUAGUUACUGCAGUUGUGUUCAGUAAAUAAAAGUGACACAUUAUUUCUUUCCCUAACUGCAUUGGUGCAAAAAACUUCAUUGCUGACUGCAGUGAGUAUCCCUUUACACACCCCCGUACAUGCUGCCACAAUGAGAGAGUCAGUGGCUCUUAUUUUGGACAAUCUCUCCUGAAUUGUAAGUCCUGUCAGCAGCUUUGAUUGAUAGUUGCGUUUAUCACCAUAUUAUUAAGUAAUCAGGCUCACCACAGCUCGGCCUGAAGCUCCUUAAUUCCAGCUAAAGCACACAGCUUCAUGCUAAUUAAAGGUUUGGUAAAUGUGUUUAUUUUUGUGAAUUUUUAAAAUAUAGUCGUCUGUGUUUUUAUGUGUCUCAAGUGUGCCGAUUGUUGAAUUUGCAUGCUCUCUGGGACAUUUAGUGCCAACCCUUAGUAUUGUGUCUCCAUCAGAAAAAUCAUGGAUAGUCACAUGGAUGGUGGAGAGAAGUUUGCGCUGCACAGACUGCAUGUAGGGUGUAUAAAUCUUGCCUAUCAGCACACAAUAUUGUACUGUUAAUGUUACUGUAAAACCUGCAAAACGACAAUUAAUGUACAAACAGAAAAUUCUGUGUAUAACAUAAGAGGGUCAAUCAGUCUAUGUUCUGUGGAUCCGCAGAGGUUUCUUCUCGCUUCGUUAAUAGAGCCUGCGGCAGGCAGCGUUUGUGUAUUUCUGAGGUAAACACAGUCAUGGCAAAGUGGACAUGCUGCUGAGUGUGUCCUGACUGGAGACAGAAAGCACUGUGGCACUGUACUUACCGAGACACUGGCAGCUCUCUAGAGGUAGGGUUAAUGUGAUGAAUGGCCAUUUGGUAAUGGGCCAUGUAUUAGGGUGAAAUAGCUCUUUUAAAAGCCAGAGUUUGAGCCGUUGCUAUGGGCGAUUUGAUUCAGGAAUCUAUCAGGUGGCAGAUGUUUCAUGUUGGAUCCGUCAACUCUGUCCUGCUCUCGCUUUCAACCAAAUGAAGGGAGAACUGCUUGAGUGACUGCGUGUAGCAAUCAAAUGUAAAUGCGGCUUAAUGCGGUCAAAAACAUCGGUCAGGCCAAAGCUUGCUUUUUAAAAAGAAAACUUACACAAAAAUAAUUUGGUUUUUGAGCUGUAUUCAUGAACUGACUGAUAUAUCAGGUGAAGAAUGUGAUUAUAUUUUCUCUUGUGAGUUUUGCAGGUUUUCUUUUGUGGUUACAGCCAUUUGAUUUUGCACCUUCUACUCAUUGUAGAAAAUGUUGCACACAAGCUAGACUCCUGGUAAUGUGAAUAUCUGAAUGUAUGAGUUUUGUUGAUUCAGAUUUAGAAAUUUUCACUUAUGAAGUGAAAUAUAUGCAAAAUGGUUGCAUUAUUUGCAUCUCAUACAAAUAUUUGUAUUCUUCAAAGAGGUUCAAGGGUGUUGAUGUAAUUAUGAGGGUGUUCUGUGCAAUAAUUACUCCCAGGUUUUCUUUGACAAUGAUACCGUUUCUCUUCUAUUGUUAUAUGAUUCAAACUCUAAGAUAAUUAAAUGACUUCAUUCAUAAGUAUUUUAGAUUGUUUUUAGUUCUGCUACUAUUUGGCAAAAAAUGGUUCUGGUGUUUGUUUCACAUUUUUAUCAAUAAAUUUGUACAUGAUACAAGUUGCAACUGUU